GGUUUGAAGUAGAGUAAAUAAGUAAAAUUGUUCUUUUAGUUCUAAUAGAUACGCAAAUACCUAAAGAAGAGAGAAAAGGGCUUCAAGUAGUCGCCGACGCAUGCGAGUAGGAAGAAAAGGCUGUAGAGGGUCUUUGGUGGAGUUGACCAGAUUGAGGUCGUUUGGUUGGUGUUCUAGACGUUGCAAGGUUGGAGAAACUCUCUGUUAGCGAGAUCCAGGAGCAGCUUUUGGACCUCAGCAGUAGGAUUUGAUCGGGAGCUGACUUCAGUCCAGAGACACCAAGGUAGCCUUGCUGAUGUCCGUAGGCUCGGAGUCUCUCUCUCUUUAUUCAGUUUGUUAUCUUUUGUACCGAAACAAAUAGUUUAUAAUUUUCUUUCAGACGAUUGUAUUUAGUAAAUCUUAGAAGUUCGUGAGCAUUGUGACACCAAUCUUGGGUAGAAAAUUAUGUUAAACUUUCCGCAUUUCUAUUUAGCUUUUAUAUAAGUUAAGACUUCCGCUUGAAA